rnacentral:rRNA from 1 species
UGCGGGGGGAGCAAGCGUUGUUCGGAUUUACUGGGCGUAAAGGGCGCGUAGGCGGUCAGCACAAGUCAGUUGUGAAAUCUCCGGGCUUAACUCGGAAAGGUCAACUGAUACUGUGCGACUAGAGUGCAGAAGGGGCAACUGGAAUUCUCGGUGUAGCGGUGAAAUGCGUAGAUAUCGAGAGGAACACCUGCGGCGAAGGCGGGUUGCUGGGCUGACACUGACGCUGAUGCGCGAAAGCCAGGGAGCGAACGGG